rnacentral:rRNA from 1 species
CCUACGGGGGGCAGCAGUGAGGAAUAUUGGUCAAUGGACGAGAGUCUGAACCAGCCAAGUAGCGUGAAGGAUGACUGCCCUAUGGGUUGUAAACUUCUUUUAUAUGGGAAUAACAUGUUCCACGUGUGGGAUUUUGUAUGUACCAUAUGAAUAAGGAUCGGCUAACUCCGUGCCAGCAGCCGCGGUAAUACGGAGGAUCCGAGCGUUAUCCGGAUUUAUUGGGUUUAAAGGGAGCUUAGGUGGAUUGUUAAGUCAGUUGUGAAAGUUUGCGGCUCAACCGUAAAAUUGCAGUUGAAACUGGCAGUCGUGAGUACAGUAGAGGUGGGCGGAAUUCGUGGUGUAGCGGUGAAAUGCUUAGAUAUCACGAAGAACUCCGAUUGCGAAGGCAGCUCACUGGACUGCAACUGACACUGAGGCUCGAAAGUGUGGGUAUCAAACAGGAUUAGAUACCCGUGUAGUC